rnacentral:rRNA from 1 species
GAUGAACGCUGGCGGCGUGCCUAAUACAUGCAAGUCGAGCGAACAGACGAGGAGCUUGCUCCUCUGACGUUAGCGGCGGACGGGUGAGUAACACGUGGAUAACCUACCUAUAAGACUGGGAUAACUUCGGGAAACCGGAGCUAAUACCGGAUAAUAUAUUGAACCGCAUGGUUCAAUAGUGAAAGACGGUUUUGCUGUCACUUAUAGAUGGAUCCGCGCCGCAUUAGCUAGUUGGUAAGGUAACGGCUUACCAAGGCGACGAUGCGUAGCCGACCUGAGAGGGUGAUCGGCCACACUGGAACUGAGAGUCGGUCCAGACUCCUACGGGAGGCAGCAGUAGGGAAUCUUCCGCAAUGGGCGAAAGCCUGACGGAGCAACGCCGCGUGAGUGAUGAAGGUCUUCGGAUCGUAAAACUCUGUUAUUAGGGAAGAACAAAUGUGUAAGUAACUAUGCACGUCUUGACGGUACCUAAUCAGAAAGCCACGGCUAACUACGUG